GCGGGCGUAGCUCAGUCGGUUAGAGUGCCGGCCUGUCACGCCGGAGGUCGCGGGUUCGAGUCCCGUCGCCCGCGCCA
rnacentral:tRNA from 9 species